GAUGAAGAACGCAGCGAAAUGCGAUAAGUAGUGUGAAUUGCAGAAUUCAGUGAAUCAUCGAAUCUUUGAACGCACAUUGCGCCCCUUGGUAUUCCAUGGGGCAUGCCUGUUCGAGCGUCAUUUGUACCCUCAAGCUUUGCUUGGUGUUGGGCGUCUUGUCGUAUUACGACUCGCCUUAAAUACAUUGGCAGCCGGUACUUUGGCCUAGGAGCGCAGCACAUUUUGCGAUCGUAGCCCGUUGUACUGGCGUCCAUCAAGAACAUUUACCACGUUUGACCUCGGAUCAGGUAGGGAUACCCGCUGAACUUAAGCAUAUCAAUAAGCGGAGGA
rnacentral:misc_RNA from 1 species